rnacentral:rRNA from 1 species
AUACUUCUUCGGACAAUAUACAAGGUGCUGCAUGGUUGUCGUCAGCUCGUGCCGUGAGGUGUCGGGUUAAGUCCCAUAACGAGCGCAACCCUAUCAUUAGUUGCCAUCAGGUCAAGCUGGGGACUCUAAUGAAACUGCCUACGCAAGUAGUGAGGAAGGUGGGGAUGACGUCAAAUCAGCACGGCCCUUACGUCCAGGGCUACACACGUGCUACAAUGGCCGGUACAAAGGGGCAGCUACCUGGUGACAGGAUGCUAAUCUACAAAAGCCGGUCUCAGUUCGGAUCGGAGUCUGCAACCCGACUGCGUGAAGUCGGAAUCGCUAGUAAUCGUGAAUCAGAAUGUCACGGUGAAUACGUUCCCGGGCCUU